AAGGAGGGUGAAAGCGUUAAUCGGAAUCAAUGGGCGUAAAGCGCACGUAGGCGGUUUUGCAAGUAAGAAGUGAAAUCCCUUGGCUCAACCGAGGAAUUGCGUUUGAAACUGCAGGACUGGAGUACUAGAUAGGAUGGCGGAAUUCCUGGUGUAGGAGUGAAGUCCGUAGAUAUCAGGAGGAACUCCAGUGGCGAAGGCGGCCACCUGGACAAAUACUGACGCUGAUGUGCGAAAGCGUGGGGAGCAAACAG
rnacentral:rRNA from 1 species